UUAAAAAAUGAGGGUCAGGUAGAACUAAAAUCGGGGUAAAAUGUUGGGGCAAAUAUGUGAAAACAAUAGUUUGUCGUUAGGCUCAUAGUUGGAUUCGCAUGAGAUGCGGGGUCUUAAUUGUAAUUAGCUCGUAAUCUAAGUUGAGAGUGGUGAAGAGAAAGAAAGUGAGGAAAUGGGAGGUUGAUUUGUAAAAUCCGGGAAGAUAUUGGGCUGGAUUAGGUGGGCCGUGAAUAAUUUCUUAGCUUUAUGACUUUAAGAUGGGCCAAGUGCCUUUUAUCCUUGAUGUUGUAGACUAAAAUAUUUAAAUCAGAAAUCUGGGCUUGCUGUAAAAAUUUUAACCCAC